AAGGAGUCUGGGAAGGAUGUCUGACCAGGGAUGAAGGCUCUUAUGCAAAGCGUUAUGGGGGCUUUGCAAAGAAGAAGGAGGGAGAGGCACAUGAUGUGUCUUCCCAUAUUAAACGAAGACCCUCUGUAAAGAGGAAGACUGUUCGCCUUGCCAGUAACCAGCACCAGGUGGCUCAUAUAGCACCUGCCUUCAGGGAAGCUCAACAUUAUCAACAUCAUCAACAACAACAUCAACAAUAUCAACAACAACAUCAUCGUCCAUAAUAGCAGGCCUAUCAGCCUCAAAAC
rnacentral:lncRNA from 1 species